rnacentral:lncRNA from 1 species
UGAAUAGACUGAUUUUUUUUCUUUCCUAUCAACAGAAAUUAAUUGCAAAUACUCCUUGGUUAGGGGUUGCACUUUGUCUCCUUUCCCUUCUCAUAGUUGGAAUUUUGGAUGGAUUGAACCUAUUCAGCUUUGUUUCUGCUGCCACAUUCUCUGGGCAUUCCUGUGUCUGGCAGUCCUAUUGUAUGGAUAGCAUUGUUUCCUUGCAGUAAUUCAACACCCUGACACUUAUCUUUCUGCUUUCUCUUUAACAUAGAUCCAAGAGUCUUGAGGAGAGAAGUUUAAUGAAGAUCCAUUUAACAUCUACAGAUGCACAGUCUCUCACUAUCUCUACACAGGGCACUUGAGAAUGCCUUAGAUAAUUCUUGUGAAAGAGGAGACAGCCUUGUUGAGAACUGAGCACUGAAUUGAAUUAUGGGUAGAACAGUAUGUUGGAAACUAACAUGACUAUCCUCCAGAAGCCCCCAAAAGCAGCUGAAAGUGUCAGAUGAUGAUAUUUCCAGCCAAGCAAUGGACAGAAGAUAGUGACCCCAGUGGUUGAAUUUUCAAAAGCUGGAAAAAGCUUAUGAAGAAGGCAACCCUAUAGGAAGACCAGCAGUCUCAACUAUCCUGGACACAUGAGAUCUCUCAGACACUGUGCCACCAACCAGGCUGUAUAUACCAGCUGAUAUGAGGUUCCCAAGACAUAUACAGCAAGAAUUCCUGGUCUGCACUAAGUAUGAGAAGAUGCACCUAACCCACAAGAGAUUUGAGACUCCAGGGAGUAGGGACGGUAGGGCUAGGUUUAGGGUGUGAGGGCAACCUCCAGGAGGAGUUAUCAGAUGAGAAACACUAAAAGGACAGAAUGAGAGGGGGAUAAAUCCUGAACUGUAAAAAAAAAAGAAUAAUUAAAAAGAAAUGAUGACACUAUAGACAGUUAAUAAAAUUAUGAAAUUCGCCCUAACAUUUUGUAGUACUGUUAAGUCUAGUGUUUACAUGAACAUUCCAGUGUAAUAAAAAGUUAAAUAAAUAUAACCCUGAAUGAUAUGAGACUCUCUC